rnacentral:rRNA from 1 species
GACGAACGCUGGCGGCGUGCUUAACACAUGCAAGUCGAACGGAAAGGCCUUUUCGGAGGUACUCGAGUGGCGAACGGGUGAGUAACACGUGGGUGAUCUGCCCUGCACUCUGGGAUAAGCCUGGGAAACUGGGUCUAAUACCGGAUAGGACCGCACUUUAGUGUGUGUGGUGGAAAGUUUUUUCGGUGUAGGAUGAGCCCGCGGCCUAUCAGCUUGUUGGUGGGGUAAUGGCCUACCAAGGCGGCGACGGGUAGCCGGACUGAGAGGUUGGUCGGCCACAUUGGGACUGAGAUGCGGCCCAGACUCCGACGGGAGGCAGCAGGGGGGAAUAUUGCACAAUGGGCGCAAGCCUGAUGCAGCGACGCCGCGUGGGGGAUGACGGCCUUCGGGUUGUAAACUCCUUUCGCCAGGGACGAAGCGUUUUGUGACGGUACCUGGAGAAGAAGCACCGGCUAACUACGUG